rnacentral:rRNA from 1 species
GAAACUAACAAGGAUUCCCCUAGUAACGGCGAGUGAAGCGGGAAGAGCACAAAUUUAAAAUCUACCUGGUUUCCAGGUCGAGUUGUAAUUUGAGGAUACGUUUUUGACGUUCUGGGUUGGACUAAAUCCUUUGGGAUAAGGUAUCAUAGAGGGUGAGAAUCCCGUAUAUACCAACCGUAGGGAUGUUAUUAAAUACGUUUCUAAGAGUCGAGUUGUUUGGGAAUGCAGCUCUAAAUGGGUGGUAAAUUUCACCUAAUGCUAAAUAUAAGCGAGAGACCGAUAGCGAACAAGUACAGUGAUGGAAAGAUGAAAAGAACUUUGAAAAGAGAGUUAAAUAGUACGUGAAAUUGUUGAAAGGGAAACGAUUGAAGUCAGUCAUGCCGGUGGGAAUCAACUUAGGGGAAACUCUGGGCGCACUUCUUCGCUUGGCAGGUCAACGUCGAUUUUGAAUGUCAUAAAAUAAUUGGGGGAAGGUAGCUCCUUCGGGAGUGUUAUAGCCCUUGAUAGAUGUGAUGUUUGAGGUCGAGGAUUGCAGCAGAUACCCUUCGGGGCUAGCUGCCUGAUCUCUAAUUGGUGUUGGGUUACGGAUAGCAUGCUGACCGUGAUCUAAUUACUGGUUAAAAGGUUAGAGUGUGCAUAAAUUCGUUAAGGACGUUGACGUAAUGGCUUUAAACGAC